AACGCGAAGAACCUUACCUGGGCUUGACAUGCUGGUAGUAGAAACCUGAAAAGGCGACGAGCCCCGCAAGGGGAAGCCAGCACAGGUGCUGCAUGGCUGUCGUCAGCUCGUGCCGUGAGGUGUUGGGUUAAGUCCCGCAACGAGCGCAACCCUCGCCCUUAGUUGCCAGCGGGUAAUGCCGGGCACUCUAAGGGAACUGCCCGUGAUAAACGGGAGGAAGGUGAGGAUGACGUCAAGUCCUCAUGGCCUUUAUGCCCAGGGCCACACACGUGCUACAAUGGUCGGUACAAAGGGUCGCGAACCCGCAAGGGGGAGCCAAUCCCAAAAACCGGCCUCAGUUCAGAUUGGGGUCUGCAAUUCGACCCCAUGAAGUCGGAAUCGCUAGUAAUCGCGGAUCAGCACGCCGCGGUGAAUACGUUCCCGGGCCUUGUA
rnacentral:rRNA from 1 species